AGUGCCCCUCUGCCAAGCCAGCCUGCCCUGGAGCCAAUUGUGGACUGAAACCCCUGCAAACUAGAGAGAGUAGCUCUUUGAACUGGGACAAUGACGAUCUACUCCAAUCAGAGGGUUCCUCCUUCCAGGAAUGUCUUCCACCUCCUGCCUCCAUUUCCCCCUGAGAGACAUGAUUUCCAGACUUUUUUAUGGGUUUCUGAAGCCCCAGUUUUUCCUCUGAGCAUGGAUGUAGCUUGGAAUCACCAUUUUUGUCCUAACUGAUCUAGGAACUGGAGACACCUGCAGGCUGGGCUCUGGCGGGAGAGGCUGGAAUCCUGGGAUGAGCAUCUGCCUAACAUAUAGCUGCUGAGUCUUGGAAGACAUGAGAAGAGGUGUAAGGUUAAGCAAGCAUCGGCCACAAUUGGGAGGAGCGCUGCAGCACUCAGGGGGCAGUGAAGGGAUUUAGUCACGAGAGCCAGACACUUGCUUCCCAAUUGCACCGAUCUAGUGACCAUUGUAAGUAGUUUUCGUAGUUUUAUCUGGCCUUUUGGAUUAUGGAAUCCAGGCUGGCCAGGGCCACUCCAAUCUCAUUUACCAAAACAAAAACAAAAACAAACAAAUGAAGCAAAGCAAAACACCCCAGCAGUCCUCUUAAGCACUGCAAAGCUUCCUCGUUGAUCAGCUGGAAGCAGGCUGGAGGGCUUCUUGGGCCACGCAAUCAGUUGUCCCUGGAUUGCCUUUACUGAAGACGCCAGUUGUAGGACCUGAUGGGUCACGAGAGGGAAAUAGCUCAUCUGGACGCUGUGUGCUAAUCAGACCAAUGCCUAGGUUCCCAAAACCACUAGAACAGAGAUAGGCUCAACUGUUUCACCCCUAGGAGCCACAGGGAUGUUGACGUUAUUGCCUUUUAGCAGUUGAAUGGAUUGAGAAAUUAUGGGAAUUACUCUGAAGAAGAAGAGACACUAAGAAACCCAGUGCUAAUUCCGUAGCAUUAUGAUAUAAAAUCUAGCAAUACUAUUAUUCACUGUUCAGAGUGAUAUUAGUCUAGUCUCUUAUGUUCAAUUUCAGCAAUAUAAAGAUAAGGACAGCUACUGUGAAGAGAAUAAGAGACAUUAUGGCAAUCCCUAUUGACUUCCCCAAUGUCAGGUCUUGAAGACCUAAAAAGCCUUCAUCAUCCUGUAAUGAUUUGAUUAGUUCUAUAAUGUUCAGUAUGUAUUCAAUGCAUGUGAAGAUGAGGACAACUAUUUGGAAGAAAACUAGAGACAAUAAGACAGACAGUGAAGAUCUCCAGUGGACUUGCUUUGAAAUCCAUGUUUCUUAAAAUUGUUUCCUUAUGAUCUGUUUUGUUAUGUUUAAUCUUACCCUUUUUAAAAUAGAAAAAAUUUUAAAAAAGAGAAAUUAUGGGAAUUAAAACCUGCCAUUAGUUUUUUUUUUGUACUGGGAAUCAAACUCACAACCUCAGGCUUGCCAGGCAGGUGCUGUGCUACUGGGCUAUAUCCCUGGCCCUAAACCUGCCAUUAGUUAUAUUAGGGUGCAUUUUCCUAUUCCAGUAGAUGUGAGGCAAAGGUACCUGGGUCCCACAGUAGGGUUUUGUUUUUAAGUCUGUUUGUUUUUUCCUGCCCCAGAUUCAUUCUCUUCACGAAUUGUGGCCUUAUGUGAUAUGCUUUGCUACUUCUCCCGUUUAGGGUGGAGUCUGUUUCUCCGCCCUUCACAGUGGGCCCACAUAAUACCGGGGUGGAGAGAAAGGCUAGACAACCUCUGGGCUGGGCUUUAUGGGUCCUUACAGUUUUCUACUUUUGUUCUCUUCUUUUUGAACCCUGUUUUGAGACUACCACCUGUGUAGAAGCCUAAGAUUGAAAAACAAAAUGAAAUAAAGCCCCGCAAAUAACUUGAGGGUGUCUUAGUAACUUUCUCAUCCCCAGGAUAAAAUGCCCAGUAGUCAUGACUUAAAUGAGGAGAUAUUUAUUUUGGAUUCAGCCCAUAGUUGACUGGCUCUCAGAUAGGAAGGGCACGGUGGAAGGGCCUGGCACAGGAAAGCUGCUCAAGGCCUGAUGGCCAGGGAGCAGAGAGAAGGCAGGAGGCGGGAGGGAGACAUGUCCAGCUCAUGUCCUUAGCAUCCUGCCUUUUUGCCAGGUCCCACCUUCUAAGAAAGAACACAUUUAGCCCUGAACUCAUAAGUGGAUUAAUCCACUAUGUGACCUAGCGACCUUCUAAAACCCUCGUUUCUACACAUAUUAGACUUUGGGAGACAUUGCAGGUCUAAACCACAGCAGAAGAAAGGCCCACACCGCCCAGCACCGAUGCCAACUGUGUAAAGCAGUCGCCUCAGUGAACAUGGGCAGAGUC